GCCCCUGUAGCUCAGAGGAUAGAGCAGUGGUUUCCUAAACCAUGUGCCGCAGGUUCGAUUCCUGCCAGGGGCA
rnacentral:tRNA from 1 species